AGGGAGUUAGUCCAAAGUAAGACCUCUGAUUUCGGCUCAGAAGAUUGUGGUUCGACUCCACGACCCCCUU
rnacentral:tRNA from 1 species